GACAGAGGUGCCGAGCGUUAGGCGGAAUCACUGGGCUUAAAGCGUGUGUAGGCGGAUCGUUAAGUACCUUGUGAAAUCCCCCGGCUCAACCGGGGAACUGCUGGGUAUACUGGCAAUCUUGAGCGAUCUAGGGGCAGAUGGAACAAGUGGUGGAGCGGUGAAAUGCGUAGAUAUCAUUUGGAACGCCAACGGAGAAAUCAGGCAGCUGGGGGUGUGCUGACGCUGAGACACGAAAGCCAGGGGAGCGAACGGG
rnacentral:rRNA from 1 species